rnacentral:rRNA from 1 species
UACGGAGGAUUCAAGCGUUAUCCGGAUUUAUUGGGUUUAAAGGGUGCGUAGGCGGUCGGAUAAGUUAGAGGUGAAAUCCCGAGGCUCAACUUCGGAAUUGCCUCUGAUACUGUUCGGCUAGAGAGUAGUUGCGGUAGGCGGAAUGUAUGGUGUAGCGGUGAAAUGCUUAGAGAUCAUACAGAACACCGAUUGCGAAGGCGGCUUACUGGACCGUAACUGACGUUGAGGCUCGAAAGCGUGGGGAGCAAACAGG